UACAGAGGGUGCGAGCGUUUGUUCGGAAUUAUUGGGCGUAAAGCGCAUGUAGGCGGUCUGUUAAGUCGCGUGUGAAAGCUCCAGGCUCAACCUGGAAAGUGCGCGCGAAACUGGCGGACUUGAGUGCCGGAGAGGGUGGCGGAAUUCCCGGUGUAGAGGUGAAAAUUCGUAGAUAUCAGGAGGAACACCGGUGGUGUAGACGGCUUUCUGGACCGUAACUGACGCUGAGACACGAAAGCGUGGGUAGCAAACAGG
rnacentral:rRNA from 1 species